rnacentral:rRNA from 1 species
GGAGGAAAGCAGGGGAUCGCAAGACCUUGCGCUUUUGGAGCGGCCGAUGUCUGAUUAGCUAGUUGGUGAGGUAAAGGCUUACCAAGGCGUCGAUCAGUAGCUGGUCUGAGAGGACGACCAGCCACACUGGGACUGAGACACGGCCCAGACUCCUACGGGAGGCAGCAGUGGGGAAUUUUGGACAAUGGGGGAAACCCUGAUCCAGCCAUGCCGCGUGAGUGAAGAAGGCCUUCGGGUUGUAAAGCUCUUUCAGCCGGAACGAAACGGUCACGGCUAAUACCCGUGAUCACUGACGGUACCGGAAGAAGAAGCACCGGCUAACUACGUGCCAGCAGCCGCGGUAAUACGUAGGGUGCAAGCGUUAAUCGGAAUUACUGGGCGUAAAGCGUGCGCAGGCGGUUUUGUAAGUCAGAUGUGAAAUCCCCGGGCUUAACCUGGGAACUGCGUUUGAAACUACAAAGCUAG